rnacentral:tRNA from 1 species
AGGCUGCUGGCCGGGAGUCUCGUCGUCGACGAUGACGAGGUGCGUCGGGCGAUGCGCGUGGCGUUCGAGACACUGAAGCUCG